UCAGGUGGUUAUAACGUUGGGGAUCCACCUCUUCCCAUUCCGAACAGAGAAGUUAAGCCCAACGGUGCCGAUGGUACUGCGUCACAGUGGGAGAGUAGCGCCGCCGUUU
rnacentral:rRNA from 1 species